AUGGGGGCCUUGGUGGCACUUUCUCAUCCUUUCCCUGUGCAGCACCUUGCUGGUAUCUUAGUCUCAGCUUUGGGCUUAUCCUGGAAGGGGGAGUGUGAAGUUCCUUUGGCACACAGGGCCCGUUCCCACCUUCCUGGAAAGGAAUUGGAUGAAUCUCGGUCCCCACAAGAGUCAUACAUGUUAUCUUGGCCCUGCCCAUCCGUUUGGGCAUGGGCCACUUCCUUGUUGAUUCCCUCCAGCAGGUCAGCCCUUGAGGACAGGGGAAUCCGUGUGCCCAACACCCAGGCCACCUCUGGCCCAUGGCGGGUGCUCACCCAUGGCUGCUCACGCUCCCUCCUUCAAUCCAGAACUGUGGGAGCCUGCUUCGUGUACGUUGGACACCCACCGGAGCGGUCGGGGCCCGGGUCCCCACUGCAGCUGUGCCUGGCCCCGGCAUCCAGCACCCCACCACAGGCCUGCCGGCUCCAGGGUCCCCACGCUGGCCGGGUUGGUCCAGAAGGCCCUGCUGUGACCCCUGAAGGAAUGACCGAGUGAAGCGGUGGGAGAGUCCACACAGCACAGAGGCCCAGAUGCUCCAGGACGGAGUGGCGUCCACGCAAGUGACCCAGCCCUCCCGCAGUCAGGUACAUUUAGUUUUCCAGCCUUGGUUCCCGAAGUCCCUGGCUGAGCCCAGAGAGAAGGAAGGCCGGCACUG
rnacentral:lncRNA from 1 species